rnacentral:tRNA from 1 species
GUUUGUGGCUCAGUGGUAGAGCGCUUGCCUAGCAUGUGUGAAGCACUAGGUUCAAUCCUCAGCAUCACA